CUGUCACAGGCGGCUAGUGGCGAUUCGUGGAUUUCUGUUCGGGAGUUUGGAGCCUCUUACGGAUCCCGUUCAGGAGAUUACCGCUUCCCCUGUUGGUGGUUCGUAUACUGCAGUCUAUGCAAAUGGAGUUAUUGAUAUUGCGAAGGGGGAAGGUUAACUAAGUGGCGGUUUCCCUUAAAGACACCAGGGGUGUCUAAACAGGGACAGUCUCGCUUGUAGUGUCCCCACUUCUGGCACUGGUGACAUUGCACAGAGCUAGGCUGGUGGAACCUUGGUUGGGA